rnacentral:rRNA from 1 species
AAAGGUGGUAAUGCCGGAUGCUCCAGUUGAUCGCAUGGUCUUCUGGGAAAGCUUUCGCGGUAUGGGAUGGGGUCGCGUCCUAUCAGCUUGACGGCGGGGUAACGGCCCACCGUGGCUUCGACGGGUAGCCGGCCUGAGAGGGCGACCGGCCACAUUGGGACUGAGAUACGGCCCAGACUCCUACGGGAGGCAGCAGUGGGGAAUAUUGCACAAUGGGCGCAAGCCUGAUGCAGCGACGCCGCGUGAGGGAUGGAGGCCUUCGGGUUGUAAACCUCUUUUAUCGGGGAGCAAGCGAGAGUGAGUUUACCCGUUGAAUAAGCACCGGCUAACUACGUGCCAGCAGCCGCGGUAAUACGUAGGGUGCAAGCGUUAUCCGGAAUUAUUGGGCGUAAAGGGCUCGUAGGCGGUUCGUCGCGUCCGGUGUGAAAGUCCAUCGCUUAACGGUGGAUCCGCGCCGGGUACGGGCGGGCUUGAGUGCGGUAGGGGAGACUGGAAUUCCCGGUGUAACGGUGGAAUGUGUAGAUAUCGAAAAGAACACCA